rnacentral:rRNA from 1 species
AAAAGGAACACAUAUUCGUGUAGAGUAGAGCUUAUUAGUCUUGAAAAACAAAGUUACAUGGCGGCUAGGCAACUAAAUAGAGAAGCAUGUUUUUAAUCGAAGGUACACGAAGAUCCUUACCAGUUCUUGCCAAGUCAUUUUGCACACCGCCGUCGGAAGGUUAGAUUUAGAAAUUUAUUCUGUUUCCUUCAAUUAUAAAAGGAGUUAAGUCAGGUCAAGGCGUAGAUUAUGAAUUGGAAUUGAUGUGCUUCUAUAUUAUUAUUAUGUCUCAAGUUUUUAAUUUGAAAUAACUUUGGGUAAGUGAAUUUAUAAGUAAGUCCUAAUUAGCAUGUAGGUCUGAAUUGUGCGCAUGUCUCUAGUGUC